UGGCGGACGGGUGAGUAAUGUCUGGGAAACUGCCUGAUGGAGGGGGAUAACUACUGGAAACGGUAGCUAAUACCGCAUAACGUCGCAAGACCAAAGAGGGGGACCUUCGGGCCUCUUGCCAUCGGAUGUGCCCAGAUGGGAUUAGCUAGUAGGUGGGGUAACGGCUCACCUAGGCGACGAUCCCUAGCUGGUCUGAGAGGAUGACCAGCCACACGUGGAACUGAGACACGGUCCAGACUCCUACGGGAGGCAGCAUG
rnacentral:rRNA from 1 species